CCACUGUCGACAACUGGAAAAUAAACACAAAAAAACAACAACAAUUUUCGCUCCUCCAAAAUCGCGGGAUUCUAAACUGGCUGGCUCGUUCUGCCGAAGCUACCGGAAAUAAUUACACUUCCUCGUCCAUUCAUCACCCGGGUGACGAUGGCUUCCCAGCAUUCCGUAGCGCUGGAGCUACGAGAAUCCAUAUGCUAUGUCCAUAGCCGGGUAGGAUCUUUCUGCAAGAAUCAUCAAACUAUGCGGUAUCAACAGGUUUUGAAUUUUCACCAUUUGCUGGCCAGAAGAUCGGAAACUGAUACCAAACCGUAGCUACCGAAACCACAGCUACAGGAGGCCACCACCGGACCCUAAUGGAAAACUGAUAUUGGAGAAUAACCCCUAUAAAUCCCUUCCUUUUCCCUUGUUUAAAGUUUUUUUUUUUUUAACUGUUGAGUCGCCGCGACUAUUACGGCCCCCUUCCCUACUAACCUAGUGAAACGAAUACACUCGGCACAUUGAAACUUUGUAAAAGUAAA